GGAAGGAGCACAAAGAAAGGGAGAAGAAGAAAAAGAAAGAAAAGGAAGAAAAGAAGGGGAAGGAAGAGAAAUGGUAGUGAAGUCAUCUUUGACAGAUUCUUCCAACUCAAUGACAAAUGGGAUCAAGGAGAAGAGUCUUCUCUACCAGGACCUGCACUCUCUAAAACAUCUUGUCUCCUAAGACAACUACUCAAAUCUUAAUAGCUGUCCUGAAAUCACUAUAGCCUAGAAUUAAACCAAGGAUUUUGUUUGUAGCACCAGCCAUUAUAAAAGGGCUUUGUCUUUCCUGAUUGUAAAUGGCUAUAUUCACCUACCACACAUUAAAGACAAUUAA